CCUACGGGAGGCUGCAGUGAGGAAUAUUGGUCAAUGGGCGCGAGCCUGAACCAGCCAAGUAGCGUGAAGGAUGACUGCCCUACGGGUUGUAAACUUCUUUUAUACAGGAAUAAAGUGAGGCACGUGUGCCUUUUUGUAUGUACUUUAUGAAUAAGGAUCGGCUAACUCCGUGCCAGCAGCCGCGGUAAUACGGAGGAUCCGAGCGUUAUCCGGAUUUAUUGGGUUUAAAGGGAGCGUAGGUGGGUUGUUAAGUCAGUGGUGAAAGUUUGCGGCUCAACCGUCAAAUUGCAAUUGAUACUGGCAGCCUUGAGUGCAGUUGAGGUAGGCGGAAGGCGUGGUGUAGCGGUGAAAUGCUUAGAGAUCAUGAAGAACUCCGAUUGCGAAGGCAGCUUACUAAACUGCCACUGACAUUGAUGCUCGAAAGUGUGGGUAUCAAACAGGAUUAGAUACCCCGGUAGUC
rnacentral:rRNA from 1 species